UACGGGGGGGGCAAGCGUUGUUCGGAAUUACUGGGCGUAAAGGGCUCGUAGGCGGCCAACUAAGUCAGACGUGAAAUCCCUCGGCUUAACCGGGGAACUGCGUCUGAUACUGGAUGGCUUGAGUUUGGGAGAGGGAUGCGGAAUUCCUGGUGUAGCGGUGGAAUGCGCAGAUAUCAGGAGGAACACCGGUGGCGAAGGCGGGUCUCUGGGCCGAUACUGACGCUGAGGAGCGAAAGCGUGGGGAGCGAACAGG
rnacentral:rRNA from 1 species